AUCCAGCUAACGAGUCCCAAAUAGAACGAAACGCGAUUCCUGGAU
rfam:Schistosoma mansoni strain Puerto Rico chromosome W, complete genome